rnacentral:lncRNA from 1 species
GGAAUACAAGACGUGGAGCGUAGAGGUGAAGCAGAAGGGGUUUGUGGGGGCGCUCAACGCCUAUUUAGCCGGCCGCCACACCAAGGAGCACUGCAACCGCCUUAUCUUGCCUGGGAUCGAUGACAUCCCGGAGAUGGUCGUCUGCACCGAGUGUCAUCGACCCAUGGAGAAGUACAUUAUGUACCGUUGUUGCAAUGAGUAGUGUGUCAACUGCUCAUCACUUGAUAAUGUCCUAACUAAUCAGUUUAGUGUUUGUGUUUUUAUUUUAAUAUAUCCUAGAUUUGUAGCUAGGAUUAAUGUGGUACUAAUGUAUGACUGAUUGCAUCAGUCUGUCGUUUUCUUACUUGUCCUCCUUCUUCUUGUUUGAAUAACUUAGCUAGGACUAUUAUCUAAUUGUGUUGUAUGUCAGUGGCUAUGCAUGCAAGGUGAACCCCACUUCAAUUUUUUUCUGUGUAUAUAUAUCUUAUUUAUGUGUGAUAUGUAUAAUAUAUAGUAUAAAAAUUGUCUUGGCACAAAAUAUAGGUAUUUAAUUUUAAGAGUAAUUGUAUAAAUAUAUUUUAAUUAUUUAGAAGAAUAUAUUAAUUCAUUAGAUAUUAAAUUACUAUAAAAAUAUAAUAAUUAAUUACAUUAUUUUAUCUAAAAUCUAUUUGAUAUAUAUCUGGAACUCUUGUUAGAAUCUUGAAACAAAAUAAAUAUCCUAUAAAAUUUAACCACUUAACUAGAUAAAUGAAAAAAAUUAGGGUUAAUUGCCGCUAAAUUCAAAAACUUUUAAAAAAUCUGUGAUAUUGUCUUCAUUUUCAAAUUCCGUAUGAAUACAUGAAUUGAGAAUUCGUUCUUAAUGUUCCCAAAAUAAGAAAAAACCCCCAAAUUGAAGGUGACGUGGACUACCGUAAAUACAGCGUGGCAUAGCCGGCGGUGCAAGAAAACGACGUCGUUUCUUUUAAAAUAAUACGACGUCGUUUUGAUUUCCAACAAUAAUUUAAAAAAAUAAAAAAUUGCAGAAAUCCUCAAUCUCUCUCUCUCUCACCUUCCUCGCCGGAAAAUUUGCAAAAUUUUGCAGCUCGCACACCAACAAUCGUCAAUCAUCUCGCACACCAACNGGGCGAGUUUGGGAGGUGGCGCCGGAGGUUUGGGGAGGUGGUGGUCGGGGGGUUGGGGAAGGGGGUAGAUGAUUUUUAUUUUUUUAAAUUAAUUAUAAAUAAAUAAAAUUAUUAAAAAUUAAAACAAUGACAUGUAUAGCUGAUUUGGAAUGAAAUUGACAUGUCAUAGGUAUUUGCCAUGUCAUCUCGCCGGAUUUUUUAAUUUUGGGAACAUUAAGAACAAAUUUUCAAUUCAUGUAUUCAUACGCCGAUUUUGAAGUUGGUGAGAAUAUCGCGAAUUUUUUAAAAGCUUUUGAAUUUAGCGGCAAUUAACCCAAAAAAUUAUGACCUAAUUAGUUUAUUAAUUUAGAGAUAUUAAUAUAUCUAUAAUUAUAGUCUUCAUUUUUAAAUUCCGUAACCCUUAUUUUCAAAUUCCGUAACAUAUAAUCAUUUUUUUGUUUUAACAGUUAGCUCGAAGAAGUUGAACCAAAAACCUAUUCACUGAACAGUAAAAAAAGUACUCUGUAUAUCCAUUUACUAAUUUAAUGACAUGUGACAAUUGGAACUAUUAUUUAUAUUUUUAUAUAAAGUGGCAUUGUGAUUCAUGUGAUGGACUAUCACAUGCCCCCUCUUAUCUGUUUUGAGUCAUUUUAGCAUUCAUGAAUAUCUAUGCUUUGAUAACGUACGUGUUUAGAAUUUAUCUCAUCUUAAUAGGCUCUUCUUGCACUCUUAUCUUCAACUUUCUACUCCUUAAAUAAGUUUAAUUUUGUGUUAUUAAUAUUAUAAUAAUAUUAAAUGAGAUUAUGUUUAUAAUUUUUACUUAUUAAAUAAAUGUGUCUGAGCUUAAGAUGACAAACAAAAAAUACGAUGGAGUAUCAAUUUUACUUGGACCGAGCCUAACAAAUUAAUAUUACCUUUUUUAUUACGAUAAAUUACCCCCAUCAUGUUUUAAUUCUGGUCUCCAAACCCAAGCUGUCCCCACAGACUUUCAAUAAGCCACUCCAUGAAUUAAUCUUUUCCCACACGCAUGUUGUACUUGUACCUCUUCCAUCUCUCUCUUUCUCCUUUUCUCACUUAGACAUCCUUUUCUCUCUCAUAUCACGCAUGCCUAAACCUCUUUUUCUCUCUCAUCUGCUCCAUUACCGGACAUUUUCAUCAAUCCAUCUUUGUCUCUCUCAUCGAUGAAUGGUGAAGAGGAAAGUCGACUAGAGGUGCUGCAGGAAAAUAGCGCUUAGUGCCAAAUUAUUGGGGCAGAAAAGCUCUCGAGCACUGCAUACAGUAGUGAAGUUUUUUUUGUUUGAAGUAACACAGUAGUGAUGUCUUUAAUUUUCUUUCUUUUGGUCACUGCAAAAAAAAUUUCUGCUAGUGACAUGAGGUUUGGUAGCUAUUUUGUGUGUCAUAAAAAUUAGUGGCAUUUGAUGGUGUAGCUAAUCGCUAAUAGUUACAAUUACAAAUGUCACUAAUUUUUGUGUGACAUGUGAACUAAUUUUUGUGUGACAUGCACAUAUCACACAAAAAUUAGCGACAUUUGUAACACAAAAAAUUGUGAUAUUUGUGACAAAAAUUGAGGGUGUGAACUAAGGACUUAGGACCGUUGAGACAAGUAUUGCUUAUCCCAAUUGUAAGGUGGAAGGUGAAAAUUAUAGAUAUCUCCAAUCGUAAUUGGAAACGUGGAAAAUGGAUAAAAGAAGAAUUAUCAACCAUUGAUAUUAUCAACGUGUACAUACACGCUUAGCACGUGAUCAAAUGGCUUUAUUCACUGAAUAACCUUAAUUUUAUUUUCACUAAAUAUACGUACGUCCCAUUCGCUAUUUAAUGCAUUCGGUGAUGAAUCGAAACGUACAACGAGGGCUUAAGAUAAAUAAUCUCCACACCGUUAAAAUAUUAUCUAAGAUUAUGCAUGCUUAGCACGUGACCGCAUGGCUUUAUUCUCCGCAUAGCGCCUAUUUAACGGGUACCGUUUCUUGAUCGAAAAACACACAAAGCAUCGUUAAAUAUACUCCACUAAGAGAGAGAGAGAAUGGCGAGUGCAACUAAGAAAUUGGUCUCAGUGGCAGAUGAGAGUGCGCUGAGGAAGAAGAUUCUAGAAACUCAUGCCUACGAUGGCGGCGCCUUCGACACGAAAUCUGUUCUUGCCACCCUGGAAGGUAUCCUCAAUCUUGUCACCCCUGGAGUUGACACCAAUGUCAAUGUGAGUUGCUUAAUUCUUGUCUCACUCCACUCAACUUGAUUCUUUUNUUUUUGAGGCCACUGGAUUGACACGUUGUUCGUAAAUAGGGACCGACAAAUCAUGUUGAGAAGCUCGACAACGGGAUUAUGGUGCCAAGCGGGCUCGAAACCUCCCGGAUACUUUGCCCUUCUUGUUGCACAAGAUCUCCUGUGUGGUAAUUAAAUCGUUUUAUAUUAUAACGGAUGCUUAAUUGUUGCCAUGGUAGGGGCUUUAUUAUGGGGCCCCACCUCCCGUGGGUUUGGGGCGUUACAACAAUUUUCUCAUGUUUUUAUUUAGUUGACAUGCAAGUGCUCGGGAAGCGACAGCCACUCAUCGGCCAUGGAGAUUCUGAAACUGCUGUCGAGCUACACAUGGGAGGCGAAAAUCGUGAUAGUGUUAGCAUCGUACGUGGUUGACUACGCCCAAUUCAGCCUCCUCACCAAGCUAUACACCACCCAUCCGCUAGCUCAACUCAUCGCCAUCCUCAAGCAGAUACCGCAAAACAUUGACCACCUCUCCGAUCUCAUCAAAUCCAAACUCCACACCAUCGUAAGUCUCAUCAACUUAUCAAUCGAGGUCACAAAGUUCAUCACCAAAUUCAACACUUUGCCAUCAAAAUACAUAUCAAAUGAUGCACAACCUAUGGUCGUUGCAUUGGCCCAAAUCCCCAUUGCUGUCUACUGGAUCACACGAGUCGUCGUUGCCUGCGCCUCCCAGAUCACUGAAAUUCUUGGCAUAACUCAAGUGUAUGAUCAUCAAUAUAUCCCUCAUUUAAUUAAGUUUUUUUUUUUUUCUAUUUAUUGAAAUAUUUACUUAUAUGUUUUUGCCUAAAUUUGCAGAAUAAGUUCGUAUACAGAAACAUGGGACCUUUCGAGCUUAGAACAGAAGAUCGUCAGCAUUCAGACCACCUUCAACAUUCAGCUUGAUCUCUGCUACAAAUACAUAGGUGAUUUCUUGAAAAACAAUCAUCUUUCAAAGUAAGAAAAUAAAAAUUGUGUGAUCUUAUAUAUGAAAAUGGUGAAUUAAUAUUGUUGCAGAGGAGAAGAAACAAAUUGAACACGUUCAGACAAUAAAGGAGACGAUUGAACAGACAAGUCGUGACUCAACAGUGUAUGUAGACAACCAGAAAAUACUGCAGCUUAUAAUCUAUGUCAAGGAUGGUUCACUUCCGCUUGCAUCUGGUCCCGACAAGACAACCAAGGUACACUUGUUCAAUUCCAAGAGAAGUAAAAAAAUCGGGUGAAGGACGUGUUGCUACAGAAUACGGUUAUCGGGUAGUGACAACGACUUCACCUAUGAAAGUAUUGUCUUUUACCUAACGCAAAAAAUAGCUUUUUCAUAGAUGAGUGGACGAAAUGAAAUAACAGUGUGUUUAUUUAACGCGAAAAUAAAGUUUAUAACUGAGUGGUCGAAAUAGUAGUUUUAUUAGUAUCUAUGAAAUGAAUUGAAUUGCCUCUUACAUGAACAUGAUAUAUGAUGAUGUUUGCAGGUAGGGGUCGACGUUCUCAAAGGGAAAACAGUUCUGCUACUCAUCUCAGAUCUCGAAAUUUCCUAUGAUGAGAUCUUCAUCCUCACCCAAAUCUAUCAAGCUUCAAGAAAAGAUACGAAUCUCCAAUACGAAAUCGUGUGGCUCCCGAUCGCGGAGAAUGUCGACGAAGAAUUUGACAAGAAAUUUUUCGAUUUGAAGAAAAAGAUGCCAUGGUACCAUAUACAUACGACCUUGAUUUGACUAAUUACUAAUUAAUUAAGUGCUCGUUUGGUUGGUUCAAGUAAAAUGGUGAAAACGGAAUGGAAUCAAAUAAAAUGGUGUAAUGAUAACAAUAAUUAUUAUUUUUAUUGAGUAUUUAGUUUUAACAAUGGAAAAGAAAUAACAAAUUGGGUGAUUGGAUUACUAACUCAUUAUCCAAACCAAACAACAAUUGAUGCAUUAAAUUAAUUGAAUCAUUUUCCAAUUUUCAAUAACAUCCAACCAAACAUUAUAAAAAUAAAUUAAUAUUAUUUGAGAAUAAAAUAAAAGAUGGUGUGGAUCAGGUACACGGUGGAGCACCCGAGCUUACUGGAGGCGGCGGUGACAAGGUACGUGAAGGAGGAGUGGCACUACUCGAGGAAGCCGAUCUUGGUGGCGUUGGAUCCACAGGGAAAGGUGUCAAGUCCGAAUGCAUACCACAUGUUAUGGACAUGGGGUAAUGCGGCUUAUCCUUUCACAGUGAGUCGUGAUUUGGAGCUGUGGAGUAGCCAGGAGUGGAGCCUCAAGCUGCUGGUUAAUGACAUUGAUCUAACCAUAUCCAAAUGGGUAACUGCUUCAUGCCCAACUCCCCUAAUGUUGGAUCAAUUGGGAUGGGACCCACAUUUUAUUGUGUCUACUCUACUAAUGUUUCAUUAUCUUCCCUUUUUCACACACACUCACACACGACUAAAAUUGUCGAAUUUCAUCGUCUGAAAUGAAGAAAUUAAAUAAAAAAUUAAAUGCAUUUUCAACAAAGAAAAUGGCUAUUUUUCGAAAUUUUAACUUUGUUUUCUCAUCUAAAAUUAAAAAUCCCAAGAUUUGUAAAAACAAAAUGAUAGUAUAUUCUUUGUGUAUUUGCAGAUGAAAGAAGAGAAGGUGAUCUGUUUGUACGGUGGUGAAAACUACGAGUGGAUUCAAGAGUUCGUGACGACGGGAAAGGAGCUGGGGAACUCCGCCGGAAUCAAGAUAGAGAUGGUUUACGUGGGCAAAAACACGACCAAGGAGCGCAUCAAAAAACUGAGCGAGAUCUUAGGUGGGCGCAGCCUUGUUUGGGAGAAUCCUGCAUUCACUUGGUAUUUCUGGACAAGAAUCGAGAGCAUGAUGUACUCGAAGAUCCAGCACGGCGCCAAGGUGGCGACGGACAAGGAGAGCGGCGAUUACAUACUGGUGGAGGUGCUCAACAUGCUGACCCUCGGCGGGAGCGACCAGGGGUGGGGCCUCAUCAGCCAAGGGGGCGGCUCCAAGAUAGCUAGGGCUAAAGGGGAUGUCAUUCUCAAGGCGUUGCUGGAAUUCAAGACGUGGAGUGUAGAGGUGAAGCAGAAGGGGUUUGUGGGAGCGCUCAACGCCUAUUUAGCCGGCCGCCACACCAAAGAGCACUGCAACCGCCUUAUCUUGCCCGGCCUCGAUGACAUUCCGGAGAUGGUAGUGUGCACCGAGUGUCAUCGCCCCAUGGAGAAGUACAUCAUGUACCGUUGUUGCAAUGAGUAAGGGAUCAUAUCGAUGUGGCACUUGAAAUUAGCUUGUCGUAGUUGCUG